GGACUACUGGGGUUUCUAAUCCUGUUCGAUCCCCACGCUUUCGUGCAUCAGCGUCAAUACCAGCUUAGUGAGCUGCCUUCGCAAUCGGAGUUCUAAGACAUAUCUAUGCAUUUCACCGCUACUUGUCUUAUUCCGCCCACUUCAAAUGGAUUCAAGCCCAUCAGUAUCAAAGGCACUGCGAUGGUUGAGCCACCGUAUUUCACCCCUGACUUAAUAGGCCGCCUACGCACCCUUUAAACCCAAUAAAUCCGGAUAACGCUCGGAUCCUCCGUAUUACCGCGGCGGCUGGCAC
rnacentral:rRNA from 2 species